CUCUAAUUAACCAUACCUCCUUUCCUUCUUUUACUAUGGAAAUCAUAAUAAAAUCAAAAAAUUUGGACAGCAUAAGGAGUAGAUGGCUGGUGGUUGCUUAAAGCCUAUCCAAAGGAGGAGAGAUUCUAUACCAAAUAGAAAGAAUGAUAUAUAGAAUAAAAUCAUGAGAAAAAUAUCACCUUAACCCUAGCCCUAGCCCUAUUUAAGGAUCCUAAAACACAAGCAAGAGAGGGAGGAGAAUCAUCUUUGAAAGCUAGAAAUCAAGCAAGGAGAGUUUGGAGUAUCUG
rnacentral:lncRNA from 1 species